CGUUUUCUCGGUGAAAAGCAGGCUGGCCUCACGGCAGAAACGAAACGGGAAAACCUCAUAAACAUGCUGAAAGUUGUUCUAAACGGUUGUUUCUUAGGAAAUUAUCGUCUUUGUCUUAAACAUUCCAGCAGUCUGCCAACGGAUCAGACGGCUUCAUGACUGCUGCUACGGGAAGAGCAGAUGAUGGAGAGUAUUAUGGUGAUGUGUAUGUGCGCUCUGGCAUUCAUUUAUUUAUGGGGGUGGUGCAGAAACACUGCAAAGACACUUAACAGACACGCAGCUGCUUCUGACAAGACCAAAAACCCCCAAGAGAGUUCUGCUCUACUGCUGCUAACAUGCUAUGGCUGUCAUCCUAAGACUUCCAAAACCCUUUUCUGAGAUUUGUUCUUGCAGUUACUUUUCCUAGUUGAAAUAAAUGGAAGUAAGAUUGUGACCAGAAGUGCUGUGGAGUUUAUGCUAUGGGAAUACUAACAUCAGCAGCAUACAUUCCAAAAGUUGUUUCAGUAGAUUCGAGCGAGUAUGUUACAUAAUACAAAUGUUUAAGCAUUCACUUUCUGUACUUCAGAAACACUGAUGAUAUUUAGUACUAUUUACGACUUUCAAUGUUAUAUUCAGUUUAG